AGAGUUUGAUCCUGGCUCAGAUUGAACGCUGGCGGCAUGCCUUACACAUGCAAGUCGAACGGCAGCACGGGUACUUGUACCUGGUGGCGAGUGGCGAACGGGUGAGUAAUACAUCGGAACGUACCUUAUCGUGGGGGAUAACGCAGCGAAAGCUGUGCUAAUACCGCAUACGCCCUGAGGGGGAAAGCGGGGGAUCGAAAGACCUCGCGCGAUUAGAGCGGCCGAUGCUUGAUUAGCUUGUUGGUGGGGUAAAAGCCCACCAAGGCGACGAUCAAUAGCUGGUCUGAGAGGACGAUCAGCCACACUGGGACUGAGACACGGCCCAGACUCCUACGGGAGGCAGCAGUGGGGAAUUUUGGACAAUGGGGGCAACCCUGAUCCAGCAAUGCCGCGUGAGUGAAGAAGGCCUUCGGGUUGUAAAGCUCUUUUGUCAGGGAAGAAACACCGGCUCUAACACAGUCCGGGAAUGACGGUACCUGAAGAAUAAGCACCGGCUAACUACGUGCCAGCAGCCGCGGUAAUACGUAGGGUGCAAGCGUUAAUCGGAAUUACUGGGCGUAAAGCGUGCGCAGGCGGUUAUACAAGACAGGCGUGAAAUCCCCGGGCUUAACCUGGGAAUGGCGCCUGUGACUGUAUAGCUAGAGUGUGUCAGAGGGGGGUAGAAUUCCACGUGUAGCAGUGAAAUGCGUAGAUAUGUGGAGGAAUACCAAUGGCGAAGGC
rnacentral:rRNA from 1 species